CCAGACUCCUACGGGAGGCAGCAGUGGGGAAUAUUGGGCAAUGGGCGCAAGCCUGACCCAGCAACGCCGCGUGAAGGAAGAAGGCUUUCGGGUUGUAAACUUCUUUUCUCAGGGACGAAGCAAGUGACGGUACCUGAGGAAUAAGCCACAGCUAACUACGUGCCAGCAGCCGCGGUAAUACGUAGGUGGCAAGCGUUGUCCGGAUUUACUGGGUGUAAAGGGAGCGUAGACGGCAGUGCAAGUCCGGAGUGAAAGCCCGGGGCUCAACCCUGGGACUGCUCUGGAAACUGUAAAGCUGGAGUGCGGGAGGGGCAGGCGGAAUUCCUGGCGUAGCGGUGAAAUGCGUAGAUAUCAGGAGGAACACCGGCGGCGAAGGCGGCCUGCUGGACCGUAACUGACGUUGAGGCUCGAAAGCGUGGGGAGCAAACAGGAUUAGAUACCCGAGUACCG
rnacentral:rRNA from 1 species